AGGGUGCACACGUGUUGGAUCUCGGCACCACCAGUGUUUUAAUGAGUGCACAGUGUCUACAGUACCACGAGAUCUGUAAAAUUGUGAACAAGAUACUUUUAUUCAACUCACAAUAUUGAACUUGGAUCAGUGGACAGAUAAAACAUUAAAACCCUCAUGUGAACCAAAUUAAUGAUCUACAGAACACAGUGUACGAGGCCUUGUGAUUACUGUUGCCUGCUGCUAUUUCUAUCAUUCCCUUGGGUGUCUUAGUGAGUGUCUGGUGACUUGAACUAAUAGACUUGGUGACCAGUGGUGGAGGAUUUCUGCAGUCUGUCAUGUCAUCUUAACUUGGCCUCACCACACCUGGACAUCACGUCACUCACAGGAUCACGCUUGGUCGUAAUGACGUCACUCAACACCAGGGCGGCGCUGAUGCUGCUUCUUCUACUCUUCAACACAGGGAGGUGUUGUGAGUGGGAUGCCGGGGAGGAGCUACGUCGGUUUGUGCGUGUGAGAGAGGACGCCCCGCCAGGCACCACCUUACUCACUAUCAACGCUACUCACCCUCACCUCCUGCACUUACAC